GCUUGAGCCGGUCGACGACAACGUUUUUUGAAUUGACUGUAUGUCAUUUCAAGAUCUAAGAAUAGCUAUAAUAACUGCAGCUUCUUAUUCUUAUUUUCGUCAAGAACAUGGAGAUACUUUCCCAUCAUGGUUGCUAUCCAUCUCUUUUAACAUUACUCUGAAAUCGUAACCAAGAAAAUAUGAGCACCAUUUACUAAAAAUUGCUCCCAGAAAUAUAAUUUUCAAGAAUAAAUUCAUCACAGCUGUGGGAUCCCUGUGGACGUACAGACGUUCUUUCGACAAACAGGAAAGUUUUCUUUCAAUUCAUAGCUAUUCAUACUUAUUUUUAGUUUGACAGCCAGUUUGAAGUAAUUAAACUUUGAUUUUUUUCAAGCCAAUCACGAUUAAAGACGUGUAUAAAUGUCAUAAAAAAUAAAGUGUUUUAUAAAGAGAAAUUAUUUGGUGAGAAACGGAAAUCUGCACUGACUUCAUUGCAAUGGGACAAAGGAAAACACUAUUCAAAACCAGUUCUGUUUCUAAUAAAAUCCUUUAAAAAAGCAUAAAAGUAUGAAAGCUCAACCAGUAUUUUCAAAUCCAUAAACUAUCGACAAGUCUGAAAUU